CCAGACUCCUACGGGAGGCAGCAGUGGGGAAUAUUGCACAAUGGGGGAAACCCUGAUGCAGCAACGCCGCGUGAAGGAAGACGGUUUUCGGAUUGUAAACUUCUAUCAAUAGGGAAGAAAGAAAUGACGGUACCUGAUUAAGAAGCCCCGGCUAACUACGUGCCAGCAGCCGCGGUAAUACGUAGGGGGCAAGCGUUAUCCGGAUUUACUGGGUGUAAAGGGAGCGCAGGCGGCGUGGCAAGUCAGAUGUGAAAACCCGGGGCCCAACCCCGGGAGUGCAUUUGAAACUGCCAUGCUGGAGUGCCGGAGAGGUAAGCGGAAUUCCUAGUGUAGCGGUGAAAUGCGUAGAUAUUAGGAGGAACACCAGUGGCGGAGGCGGCUUACUGGACGGUAACUGACGCUGAUGCUCGAAAGCGUGGGGAGCAAACAGGAUUAGAUACCCCGGUA
rnacentral:rRNA from 1 species